GACGAACGCUGGCGGCGUGCUUAACACAUGCAAGUCGAACGGAAAGGCCCUGCUUUUGUGGGGUGCUCGAGUGGCGAACGGGUGAGUAACACGUGAGUAACCUGCCCUUGACUUUGGGAUAACUUCAGGAAACUGGGGCUAAUACCGGAUAGGAGCUCCUGCUGCAUGGUGGGGGUUGGAAAGUUUCGGCGGUUGGGGAUGGACUCGCGGCUUAUCAGCUUGUUGGUGGGGUAGUGGCUUACCAAGGCUUUGACGGGUAGCCGGCCUGAGAGGGUGACCGGCCACAUUGGGAAUGAGAUACGGCCCAGACUCCUACGGGAGGCAGCAGUGGGGAAUAUUGCAAAAUGGGCGGAAGCCUGAUGCAGCAACGACGCGUGCGGGAUGACGGCCUUAGGGUUGUAAACCGCUUUCGCCUGUGACGAAGAGUGAGUGACGGUAAUGGGUAAAGAAGCACCGGCUAACUACGUG
rnacentral:rRNA from 1 species